CAUUUCAGAAUGAACUUCGUAGGAACCUGAAUUGUCCGAUUUCAAGGACCAAUCGAUAUCGAAUUGAGUCCAAAACUUGGGGAACAUCAUAAUAUUGUGGGAGGAGUCAUUUGGUAGGUUUUGAGUGAAAUCCAAUCUCUAGAACUAUACAAUACACCAACCACCCCAUUUCAGAACGAACUUCGUACGAACCUGAAUUGUCCGAUUUCAUUGACCAAUCGAUAACGAAUUGAGUCCAAAACUUCGAGGAACAUCAUAAUAUUGUGGGAGGAGUCAUUUGGUGGGUUUUGAGUGAAAUCCAAUCUCUAGAACUAUACAAUACACCAACCACCCCAUUUCAGAACGAACUCGUACUAACCUGAAUUGUCCGAUUUCAUUGACCAAUCGAUAACGGAUUGAGUCCAAAAC
rnacentral:lncRNA from 1 species